CCAAGGAGUGUAACAUGUAUGCGAGCCAUUGGGUUGACUAAACCUAGAGGCGCAGUGAAAGCAAAGAGUAGCUUGUCUGCUCGAGGGACGAUCCGCAAGGCGCAGUCCCGCAACUUCCAAUCGACCUCGCAUCGUUGGGAGUAUGUAGAGCAUAAAUGUUGCGACCCGAAAGAUGGUGAACUAUGCCUGGCCAGGUUGAAGACAGGGGAAACUCUGUUGGAGGACCGUAGCGAUUCUGACGUGCACAAUCGAUCGUCGGAGCUGGGUUUAGGGGCGAAAGACUAAUCGAACCAUC
rnacentral:rRNA from 2 species